CGGGGGAGGAGCGAGCCCCGCGCCGCCGCCGCCGGGGCCGCCCAAUCCUCCCUCCCUCUUUUCGCCACCGUGACGCGCUGGGGAAGGGGCGGAGGCGGCUGCGGACCCGACGCUGGAGACCCGGGUGAAGAGUCAAAUACACCUUGUUUUGUGGAGGCUUUAGAAAGAGCAGCAUGGGAAACCUUUCCUGCAGCUACAGUAAGAAAUACUCACUGAAGAUCUCUGGGGGAUGUGAUGAGUGUAACAGCACUUCCCAGACAGUGAAGUCACUCUGUACUGACGCUGAUUUUCAGCCUUAACACAGAGGUUAAAAGAAGAGAAAGGGAUCUUGAGGAGAGGCUGAAGCCAAGGCCUCUGGUUUUCACCCAGGAUUCAGUGCAAGCUUGGAAAGAGUAAAGAGCUUCUCACCUCAUUCCUGAUAUCAGCAAAAGGAUUGCAUAAUCUUAGCACUUCUAAUCUCAAGUAAUAAAUCAAUAUCUGGAGCCUUGUGGGUUGUUUAUUUAUAUUAGGCCAAGUGACUGAUGAAAUCACCUAUUUCCUAAAUACAAUCCUGUUUGUCUUCACAGACUGUACAGUUAACAUGGCCAUUUUGGAGCAAGCAUUCUCCCAAAAAAGUUGCCUGAGUUCCAUCUCAGGCUGGUGACCUUUUAGUGUGCCCCUUUUUGCACACUAGACCUCCACAUGAAUUCUGCCCAUCGAGAGUAAUGGACUUUUGUUUACUCCAGACCUUUUUAAACUGACUCUUGUGUUUUAAAAGAAACAAAACCAACAUAGCAGUCAGUCAUAUACAUUUGAUGACACAAAGGCUUACUGAUAUCUCCAAGUAGGGGGAACUGAAGGAUGGCUGUGAAUAAAAAGCAGCAUUUUAAGAGAAGGGGCUGCUACCAAACAUAGGAAUUGUUUUGGUUUUUGAUGGUUUGUGUUCAAGAUAGUUCGGUUCCUUCCUUAGUCUUAUAUUGGAAAUCAGAUUUAAAAAUUAACUGCAAAUCUUUUUAUAAUGGUUGUCAAAGAAUAACAAAUUUCUAUAUUUUUAUAAGAAAAAUAAAAACCCUUUAUUGCAUCACCAACCAUAAUACUGGGCCUUUGGGGGAAGGAGCAGGAGGAAUGUAGAGACAAAGUCUGAUAGGUUCUCUGAAGAAAAAACCUGCAAUCAUUUUUUUCCCCCUCAUGUACCCAAAUAGGACUUCUCUUUUUGAGUCAUUGUGCAGAUAAUUGAACAGCAGCUUGCAAGCACUGAACAAAUACUUGCAUUACAUAGUUAUAGAAUUGGUUUAAGCCCUGUUCCAUGCGUGAAACAGAAACAUGUACCUGCUUGCAGACGUAACAUUUGUAUUUUGCAAAACCAACAGCUUCAAUACCUGCCCAGAUGUGUGCAGAGGUUAGAGCUACUUUGCUUUCCAGAAGUAAUUCCUGACAGUAACACUCUGCUUAGGCUUCAAGACACCAGAGCAAUGGCAGCACACAUGUUCUGGUUUACUCUUUUCCCUGAUUCUUUCCUCCAAGUGGGCACCUAGUUACUUACAAUCUUGGGUGAAAUCAGCACUCACAGGCAGUUCUAUUGUUUGGGUCACACACUGCACAAAGCCAAAGGAGAAUGAAGUUUCAGUGUUCUCUUACUGUCCGUUUUUUCACAAAACUGAAAAGCCCUAGCUGAAGCACAGCCUUAAAAUAUUAGAUCAAAAAUAGGAUGCAGUGUUGGACCAGGAAUUCCUGACUGAAGGAUAUACAUUUUAAGAAAGGAAAGCAGUAUUGACAGAUUUCUGAUAUAUACCACAUUAAAUAUAAGGAAAGAUGUGGAACUCUAAAAUUAAUGUUGUUGGUGCCAACAGUUACGUGUCUUAUCGGCAGAACAAUCAGUAGAUCACCACAGAAAACAAAACACCUAAAAGUAGACUUCAGAGGAAACUUUGAACAGCCAUUGAAUUGUUAGCACAUAGUGAAAUAUGCUUGAUGCUGCCUAGAGACAUUCACAAGAAAGAAAAUUAAUUGCUAUGGAAAUGAAAUGUUUUAUUUAAUUUUUUACAGGAUCCAGUCUAAAGUGCAUAACCCCAGCUAACAGUAGCCACAACAGGCCAGCCAUACUACAAAGAGUCCAUGAGAUUAGGAUACAUUAUGGCUAAAAAUAAGGCUAAAAAUGGUUUUCUUUCAGCAUCUCUGUACUCUUCUCACCAGGAUCUCUUGAGUCAUAUAGUUUCCUUUAAAGGAAUCAUAACAUUUUAAAUAUGGUGCCCUAAUUUAGUAUGAAACCAUUUGGGGAAUUCAUUGGAGAACAAACACUAGACUUCAGUGAGGACCUUGACCUCAAUAGUUUUUCUGCUUACAUAUGUGAUGGCAGAAGAUUUUGACAGGAGCAGCAAGGCCAGCUCCAAAUUGAUAUUUUUUUCCACAAUUGUUUUUUUUUAUUUAGAACCUAGAUAGGAAAAAAGUUACUUGUUCACCUUAACUUUGCUCCAAUUUUUCAUUUGAGCUCAAUUUUUUUAAAGAUACAAUACUCCAUUUUAAAAGGUAGCAGUAGUCCUAAGUAUGUAUGUUUGUGGGUUGGCUGCUGCUUCAGCUGCAUUUCUGAGGAACAGAGAAGAGGGAAGAACAAACAAUAUCCUCUGUGGUGCUCCUGUGCAUGUUGUUCUCACCGGGAGCAGUUGCACAUGCACGAAUUCCUCUGAAUUUGCACAAUUGAGAAGUAAUGUUGGUAAUGAGAGGAGAAUGACUCAACUUACUGCUUAUCUGUUUGUAGCCAUUCCUAUAAGCCUUGGGGCAAAUACAUCAGUAGAUUUCAUGAAGGGCAGAUAUCAUCUUGUGUGCAAACUGUACUUUGGUGCAGAAAGGUGUAGUUAAACUAAUUUUAAAGUAACUGGCUUCCUAUAUAACAAUUUACCUAUUACACAAAGAUUAAAUGGUGUGUUUCUUUGGGCUUUGAUAUUUCAUUUCUUAAAGUGAAAAACCAAAUCAACAUAUAUACCUUAACAUUGAGAUACUGAGCUCUUUUCUAUACAUAAUAAUAUAAAAAUAUAAGAGAAAAUCCUAAAACUUAUUUGGUGAUAGACCAGCAAUCUACUUAAAUGCAAGCCUUAUAAAGCCUUCUUGUUAUUGUGAA